rnacentral:rRNA from 1 species
UGCGUAGGCGGUUGGCUAAGUCAGAUGUGAAAGCCCUGGGCUCAACCUGGGAAUGGCAUUUGAAACUGGCGAGCUAGAGUGUGAUAGAGGAUGGCGGAAUUCCCGGUGUAGCGGUGAAAUGCGUAGAGAUCGGGAGGAACAUCCGUGGCGAAGGCGGCCAUCUGGAUCAACACUGACGCUGAGGCACGAAAGCGUGGGGAGCAAACAGGAUUAGAUACCCUGGUAGUCCACGCCCUAAACGAUGCGAACUGGAUGUUGGUCUCAACUCGGAGAUCAGUGUCGAAGCUAACGCGUUAAGUUCGCCGCCUGGGGAGUACGGUCGCAAGACUGAA